rnacentral:rRNA from 1 species
GCGCAGGCGGAUUAGAAAGUCUGGUGUUAAAAGCAAUYGCUUAACGAUUGUAUGCAUUGGAAACUUCUAGUCUAGAGUUUGGUAGAGAGUCCUGGAACUCCAUGUGGAGCGGUGAAAUGCGUAGAUAUAUGGAAGAACACCAGAGGCGAAGGCGAGGACUUGGGCCAAUACUGACGCUUAGGCUUGAAAGUGUGGGGAGCAAAUAGGAUUAGAUACCCUAGUAGUCCACACUGUAAACGAUGGAUGUUAAGUGUCGGAGCGAAUACUUCGGUGCUGCAGUUAACACAUUAAACAUCCUGCCUGAGUAGUACAUUCGCAAGAAUGAAACUCAAACGGAAUUGACGGGGACCCGCACAAGUGGUGGAGCAUGUUGCUUAAUUCGACGGUACACGAAAAACCUUACCUAGACUUGACAUCUUGGGCGAAGCUAUAGAAAUAUAGUGGAGGUCAACCCAAUGACAGGUGGUGCAUGGUUGUCGUCAGCUCGUGUCGUGAGAUGUUGGGUUAAGUCCCGCAACGAGCGCAACCCUUAUCGUUAGUUACUUUGUCUAACGAGACUGCCAACGUAAGUUGGAGGAAGGUGGGGAUGACGUCAAAUCAUCAUGCCCCUUAUGUCUAGGGCUGCAAACGUGCUACAAUGGCCAAUACAAACAGUUGCAAAUCCGUAAGGUGGAGCUAAUCUGUAAAGUUGGUCUCAGUUCGGAUUGAGGGCUGCAAUUCGCCCUCAUGAAGUCGGAAUCACUAGUAAUCGCGAAUCAGCCAUGUCGCGGUGAAUACGUUCUCGGGUCUUGUACACACCGCCCGUCAAACUAUGAGAGCUGGUAAUAUCUAAAACCGUGUUGCUAACCGCAAGGAAGCGCAUGUCUAGG